rnacentral:tRNA from 1 species
CGUCCGGUAGCUCAGCGGAAGAGCGUCUGCCUUACAAGCAGAGGGUCCCGGGUUCGAAUCCUGGCCGGACGA